UGAGCCUCUACCUCCCAUUAGAUCAGGUCUGAUCUGAUCUAGAUCUUCCAUCGCUGACCUAUAGCCGCCGAGCUCCUUCCCUGACCACUUCACCAUCUAUGCCGCCUCCAUCUCCGGCCUCUACAUCGCCAUCAAGAACAGCCUCGAUGUCGAACCCAUAAGCCCUCCAUCUCCGCCUCCAUUGCGCUGACCCUCUUCCUUCAAAACAAAAACAUAAAUCCAUCGCUGCCACAACCACCAUCAAAGCUGAACCCACAAGCCCAAACCUCUUCCUCUUCCUCUUCUCCAGAUGGGUUUGUGAUCGAAGAGAUAAAUGGGUCAUUGAACCAACCGACAGUGGUGGUUGAAGAAAAGAAGCUGAAUCGGACGGCUGAGCUCGCUGCUUCGACUGGUGGAGCUUUGGCACUCACUGUGCUUUGUAACAAAGCUCACUCACUCUAAACUCUCUCUCUCUCUCUAAAACCCUCCCCAAACCCUAGCCUCCUCCUCUCUCUCUCUCUUGCUUCCAUGGAGUUUUGGGGUAAGCUUUUCAUCUCCACUAUCAUCAUCUUCCUUGUAUUAGGGUUAGGGUUUCAUAUUCCUCUUUGUAUACCAUACUCACACACUUCUGUCUCUCUCCUUUCAUUUUCGUUCUUGUCCUUAAUAUUUGUAUAUUUGUUUCCCUGUUGUUCAUAUGAUUGUUUGUGUUUUUGUUGCCAUGGUUGUGUUGUUAUGAAGCUUGAAGGUACCCGUUGUUCUACCUACCCUGUUUUUGAAACUGUUUUUGGGUAGCCAUUGCAAGCGAGCCAGCCUGUGGUGUCUACUUCUAGAGUUUCCUCCAUUGUAGAGAAAGAGUUACCAAUGGAGCAAGAGCAAUGUCACAUUUGUAGAGUUACAAGAAAUAUGGGAGACAUAAGCUGAAUUGAGAGAACCAUCCACAAGCGACUGGUCUCACUAGUACUAAGUCUCAGUAAGCUUUAGUCAUGGACAGGACAAUCCUCACCUCUGAUAAAUCAUCCAACUCAUCCCCAUUGAACCCUCCUUCCCGGAUAAUUUGUCAUGUGUGCCAGAAGCAAUUAACAUAAUAUACAUGCCCUCGUUGCAAUUCACGAUACUGCUUCCUCCAGUGCUACAGGGAAAAUGUAGUAGGCUAGCAUGGGAGAUGAUGCUAAAAGGGCAAAGUGUUGGUCACCAAAGGAAAAAAGGCCCUUUCUUUAGAGAAAUUCAGUUAUUAAAGGAAAGAAAAUGAGUAGGGAAAUCGUGAACUUUUGAUGCUGUGAACAGGAGGGUAAGUGAAGAGUAUUUGAGACCCUUUUUUAGAACUUAUGUUCUGCUGUACCAAUGCGGUCAUUGAUAUUGUGGAAAAAAAAAUCCUGUUGAAUGUUGCAUUAAAGAUUGAUAAUUUGUAACUACAUAUUCCUUAAAGAUUGAUAAUUUUCCCGUAUUUGUUAGAGAUUU